AUUUAAAUAGCUUAAAUUUAGAGCACAAUAUUGAAGAUAUUGGGGUGAUAUUAUAUCUUUAAAUA
rnacentral:tRNA from 1 species